rnacentral:rRNA from 1 species
GGGUUGUGAGGUUAAGCGACUAAGCGUACACGGUGGAUGCCCUGGCAGUCAGAGGCGAUGAAGGACGUGCUAAUCUGCGAAAAGCGUCGGUAAGGUGAUAUGAACCGUUAUAGCCGGCGAUGUCCGAAUGGGGAAACCCAGUGUGAUUCGUCACACUAUCGUUAACUGAAUACAUAGGUUAACGAGGCGAACCGGGGGAACUGAAACAUCUAAGUACCCCGAGGAAAAGAAAUCAACCGAGAUUCCCCCAGUAGCGGCGAGCGAACGGGGAGCAGCCCAGAGUCUGAAUCAGCUUGUGUGUUAGUGGAACGGUCUGGAAAGUCCGACGGUACAGGGUGAUAGUCCCGUACACCAAAAUGCACAGGCUGUGAACUCGAAGAGUAGGGCGGGACACGUGGUAUCCUGUCUGAAUAUGGGGGGACCAUCCUCCAAGGCUAAAUACUCCUGACUGACCGAUAGUGAACCAGUACCGUGAGGGAAAGGCGAAAAGAACCCCGGCGAGGGGAGUGAAAAAGAACCUGAAACCGUGUACGUACAAGCAGUGGGAGCACCUUCGGGUGUGACUGCGUACCUUUUGUAUAAUGGGUCAGCGACUUAUAUUCUGUAGCAAGGUUAACCGUAUAGGGGAGCCGCAGGGAAACCGAGUCUUAACUGGGCGUUAAGUUGCAGGGUAUAGACCCGAAACCCGGUGAUCUAGCCAUGGGCAGGUUGAAGGUUGGGUAACACUAACUGGAGGACCGAACCGACUAAUGUUGAAAAAUUAGCGGAUGACUUGUGGCUGGGGGUGAAAGGCCAAUCAAACCGGGAGAUAGCUGGUUCUCCCCGAAAGCUAUUUAGGUAGCGCCUCGUGAACUCAUCUUCGGGGGUAGAGCACUGUUUCGGCUAGGGGGUCAUCCCGACUUACCAACCCGAUGCAAACUACGAAUACCGAAGAAUGUUAUCACGGGAGACACACGGCGGGUGCUAACGUCCGUCGUGAAGAGGGAAACAACCCAGACCGCCAGCUAAGGUCCCAAAGUCAUGGUUAAGUGGGAAACGAUGUGGGAAGGCACAGACAGCCAGGAUGUUGGCUUAGAAGCAGCCAUCAUUUAAAGAAAGCGUAAUAGCUCACUGGUCGAGUCGGCCUGCGCGGAAGAUGUAACGGGGCUAAACCAUGCACCGAAGCUGCGGCAGCGACACUAUGUGUUGUUGGGUAGGGGAGCGUUCUGUAAGCCUGCGAAGGUGUGCUGUGAGGCAUGCUGGAGGUAUCAGAAGUGCGAAUGCUGACAUAAGUAACGAUAAAGCGGGUGAAAAGCCCGCUCGCCGGAAGACCAAGGGUUCCUGUCCAACGUUAAUCGGGGCAGGGUGAGUCGACCCCUAAGGCGAGGCCGAAAGGCGUAGUCGAUGGGAAACAGGUUAAUAUUCCUGUACUUGGUGUUACUGCGAAGGGGGGACGGAGAAGGCUAUGUUAGCCGGGCGACGGUUGUCCCGGUUUAAGCAUGUAGGCUGGUUGUCCAGGCAAAUCCGGAUAAUCAAGGCUGAGGUGUGAUGACGAGGUACUACGGUGCUGAAGUAACAAAUGCCCUGCUUCCAGGAAAAGCCUCUAAGCAUCAGGUAACAUCAAAUCGUACCCCAAACCGACACAGGUGGUCAGGUAGAGAAUACCAAGGCGCUUGAGAGAACUCGGGUGAAGGAACUAGGCAAAAUGGUGCCGUAACUUCGGGAGAAGGCACGCUGGUGUGUAGGUGAAGUCCCUGCGGAUGGAGCUGAGACCAGUCGAAGAUACCAGCUGGCUGCAACUGUUUAUUAAAAACACAGCACUGUGCAAACACGAAAGUGGACGUAUACGGUGUGACGCCUGCCCGGUGCCGGAAGGUUAAUUGAUGGGGUUAUCCGUAAGGAGAAGCUCUUGAUCGAAGCCCCGGUAAACGGCGGCCGUAACUAUAACGGUCCUAAGGUAGCGAAAUUCCUUGUCGGGUAAGUUCCGACCUGCACGAAUGGCGUAAUGAUGGCCAGGCUGUCUCCACCCGAGACUCAGUGAAAUUGAACUCGCUGUGAAGAUGCAGUGUACCCGCGGCAAGACGGAAAGACCCCGUGAACCUUUACUAUAGCUUGACACUGAACAUUGAGCCUUGAUGUGUAGGAUAGGUGGGAGGCUUUGAAGCGUGGACGCCAGUCUGCGUGGAGCCAACCUUGAAAUACCACCCUUUAAUGUUUGAUGUUCUAACGUUGGCCCCUUACCGGGGUUGCGGACAGUGUCUGGUGGGUAGUUUGACUGGGGCGGUCUCCUCCCAAAGCGUAACGGAGGAGCACGAAGGUUAGCUAAUCCUGGUCGGACAUCAGGAGGUUAGUGCAAUGGCAUAAGCUAGCUUGACUGCGAGCGUGACGGCGCGAGCAGGUGCGAAAGCAGGUCAUAGUGAUCCGGUGGUUCUGAAUGGAAGGGCCAUCGCUCAACGGAUAAAAGGUACUCCGGGGAUAACAGGCUGAUACCGCCCAAGAGUUCAUAUCGACGGCGGUGUUUGGCACCUCGAUGUCGGCUCAUCACAUCCUGGGGCUGAAGUAGGUCCCAAGGGUAUGGCUGUUCGCCAUUUAAAGUGGUACGCGAGCUGGGUUUAGAACGUCGUGAGACAGUUCGGUCCCUAUCUGCCGUGGGCGCUGGAGAAUUGAGGGGGGCUGCUCCUAGUACGAGAGGACCGGAGUGGACGCAUCACUGGUGUUCGGGUUGUCAUGCCAAUGGCACUGCCCGGUAGCUAAAUGCGGAAGAGAUAAGUGCUGAAAGCAUCUAAGCACGAAACUUGCCCCGAGAUGAGUUCUCCCUGAGACUUUAAGUCUCCUGAAGGAACGUUGAAGACGACGACGUUGAUAGGCCGGGUGUGUAAGCGCAGCGAUGCGUUGAGCUAACCGGUACUAAUGAACCGUGAGGCUUAACCUUACAACGCCGAAG